rnacentral:rRNA from 1 species
CUGGCUCAGGAUGAACGCUAGCGGCAGGCCUAAUACAUGCAAGUCGUACGGUAAACGCCUUCGGGGUGUGAGAGUGGCGGACGGGUGCGUAACGCGGUAUGCAACCAGCCCCCCUCGCCGGGAUAGCCGGUGGAAACGCCGGAUAAUACCGGAUGUUCCCUCGGGGAGGCAUCGUUCCCGGGGGCAAGGCGGAGACGCGGAGGGGGACGGGCAUGCGUGCCAUUAGAUAGUCGGCGGGGUGACGGCCCACCGAGUCUACGAUGGCUAGGGGAUCUGAGAGGACGGUCCCCCACACUGGUACUGAGACACGGACCAGACUCCUGCGGGAGGCAGCAGUAAGGGAUAUUGGGCAAUGGGGGCAACCCUGACCCAGCCAAUGCCGCGUGAGGGAAUGAGGCCCUACGGGUCGUGAACCUCUUUUAUUCGGGGACAAUGGCGGCGUCGCGAACGCCGUUUGAGGGUACCGAAGGAAUAAGCGUCGGCUAACUCCGUGCCAGCCGCCGC